rnacentral:rRNA from 1 species
CAAUAGCGUAUAUUAAAGUUGUUGCAGUUAAAAAGCUCGUAGUUGGAUUUGUGGCGUACGGUGUGUUCCGGGCACUUGUUGUCUGAGUAACCUGCUGUUGCCAUCCUUGGGUGGAACCUGUGCGGCAUUAGGUUGUCGUGCAGGGGAUGCCCAUCAUUUACUGUGAAAAAAUUAGAGUGUUCAAAGCAGGCUUAUGCCGUUGAAUAUAUUAGCAUGGAAUAAUGAGAUAGGACUUUUUUGCUAUUUUGUUGGUUUGCGCAAGAAGGUAAUGAUUAAUAGGGACAGUUGGGGGUAUUCGUAUUCCAUUGUCAGAGGUGAAAUUCUUGGAUUUUUGGAAGACGAACUACUGCGAAAGCAUUUACCAAGGAUGUUUUCAUUAA